AUAUUAGGUUAUGUUUACAUCAUUUUCAUGUGUGAUUUUUAGGAAAAAUAUUGUGAUUUUUUCUUUGAGAAAAUGCCAAUUUUGUGCAAGACAGCGUGCGGCAAGAGGGCUAUAAUAAAGCGCCCCAAAACAGGGGAUGCGCUAUGUCGAGAAUGCUUCCUGGGAGCUUUUGAAGCGGAAAUUCAUCACACAAUCACGGAUAAUGCCCUUUUCACACCCGGAAUGACCGUGGCGAUUGCAGCAAGUGGUGGAAAGGAUUCAACAGUCCUGGCGUAUGUGCUAAAGACCCUAAAUGAGCGCCACAACUAUGGAUUGAAGCUCAUCCUGCUGUCUAUUGAUGAGGGUAUUACGGGAUACCGAGACGACAGCCUGGAGACAGUUAAACAAAAUCGCGAUGACUACGAGAUGCCACUGAAAAUUCUCUCCUACGAGGAACUCUACGGAUGGACAAUGGACAGGAUAGUCAGUGAGAUUGGGAAGAAUAACAAUUGCACAUUCUGCGGGGUCUUCCGGAGGCAGGCACUUGACAGGGGUGCUAAGCUCUUAGGGGUGGAUUGCAUCGCUACGGGACACAAUGCUGAUGAUAUUGCCGAGACGGUGCUGAUGAAUGUUCUUCGGGGUGAUACAGCUCGCCUACGGAGGUGUACGGAUAUCAAAACUGUUGGCGAGGAUGCAAUUCCACGCAUGAAACCACUGAAGUAUGCUUAUGAGAAGGAGAUUGUGAUGUAUGCAUACCAUCGGAAGCUUGUCUACUUCUCCACUGAAUGUGUCUUUGCCCCAAAUGCCUAUCGAGGUCAUGCAAGGGCCUACCUGAAGGAUUUGGAACGCAUCAGGCCUAGUGUGAUCAUUGACAUUAUUCUUUCGGGUGAACAGAUGGCCUUCCGGGAUACUGUGAAGGUUCCCACGAGGGGUACAUGCGAGAAAUGUGGCUUUGUGUCGUCGCAGCAACCCUGCAAGGCGUGCGUUUUGCUUGAGGGACUCAACAAAGGGCUCCCAAAGCUCGGAAUUGGGAAGAAAUCAAAGGGAGAUAGGAUGUUGGCUGAGCACGAGAAACAACUUGUGGCCAGAAUGAAUGCUCAUUCGGUUAAGAAUGAUUUUUAACAUUGAUCUGUUGGGAUAUUUUUAUAAAAUUGAGAGGGAGGCGAAAGCUCUGGAAGACAAGUUGAGUUUUUCUCUUUAACUCCUGCUUGAAGAAGAAAAUUUCUACUGACGAUGAGCGGAAGAGCCAAUAAAUAUUUUAUUAAAGAUCUUUUGAUUAAAUAAAUAUUUAUUUUUUAUACCUAUAAGAAUUUUAUAUAAAUAUAAAUAAAGCCACAAGUACUCUGCGUUGAUACCACUGCUU